UAGUGAACAUGAACGAAGGAUCAUUGUUG
rnacentral:rRNA from 1 species